UACGAAGGGGGCUAGCGUUGCUCGGAAUUACUGGGCGUAAAGGGCGCGUAGGCGGAUCGUUAAGUCAGAGGUGAAAGCCCAGGGCUCAACCCUGGAAUUGCCUUUGAUACUGGCGAUCUUGAGUACGGGAGAGGUGUGUGGAACUCCGAGUGUAGAGGUGAAAUUCGUAGAUAUUCGGAGGAACACCAGUGGCGAAGGCGGCCGCCUGGACCUGACCUGACGCUGAGGCGCGAAGGCGUGGGGAGCGAACGGG
rnacentral:rRNA from 1 species